rnacentral:rRNA from 1 species
UACGUAGGGAGCAAGCGUUAUCCGGAUUUACUGGGUGUAAAGGGUGCGUAGGCGGCCCUGCAAGUCAGAUGUGAAAUUUAGAGGCUCAACCUCUAAACUGCAUUUGGAACUGUGGGGCUUGAGUGAAGUAGAGGCAGGCGGAAUUCCCUGUGUAGCGGUGAAAUGCGUAGAGAUAGGGAGGAACACCAGUGGCGAAGGCGGCCUGCUGGGCUGUAACUGACGCUGAGGCACGAAAGCGUGGGGAGCAAAU